rnacentral:lncRNA from 1 species
CUUGAGUAGUGUAUAACUAUUAGAAACUCAAAGUCAAUGAUAAGUUCCAACUUAUAUUAAAAAGACAUACAUGUAGAAUAUACGCAAUUUAACAGUGCAUAGUAAACAGACAGUAUUACAAUAAAGUUACAAUACAGACUAAAAAAUUCUUGACUUCGUACUGACUAAAAUAAUGCCUCCCCCUAUUUAUACUCCCCUAAUUAACCUAAAAAAUUACAAAACACUAAACUCCCUUAACCAAUGAAAAAGUGACACAUAAACUAGUAGGGCUAGUAGGGCACUACAGCUCCAAGAGGAGGGCUGGUAGAGCACCUGGUAGGGCUUUGCGAACUAGGCCAACAAAACAGGAAAUGUCUAUCAUUGAUAGUAAAAUUUCAGUUAUGAAACAAAGAACAACCUUGAAAAAACAUUUGGCUGACUAAUUAAAACUGUCAAACUUAUGUAUAAAUGAUGAAACUUGUUAACACAACCUUAAAAAGAGCAAAGUAAAUAAUAACACUAUUGCUAU